rnacentral:rRNA from 1 species
GUCGAACGAUGAUGCCCUGCUUGCUGGGUGGAUUAGUGGCGAACGGGUGAGUAACACGUGAGUAACCUGCCCCUGACUCUGGGAUAAGCGUUGGAAACGACGUCUAAUACUGGAUAUGAUCACUGGCCGCAUGGUCUGGUGGUGGAAAGAUUUUUUGGUUGGGGAUGGACUCGCGGCCUAUCAGCUUGUUGGUGAGGUAAUGGCUCACCAAGGCGACGACGGGUAGCCGGCCUGAGAGGGUGACCGGCCACACUGGGACUGAGACACAGCCCACACUCCUACGGGAGGCAGCAGUGGGGAAUAUUGCACAAUGGGCGAAAGCCUGAUGCAGCAACGCCGCGUGAGGGAUGACGGCCUUCUGGUUGUAAACCUCUUUUAGUAGGGAAGAAGCGAAAGUGACGGUACCUGCAGAAGAAGCACCGGCUAACUACCUGCCAGCAGCCGCGGUAAUUCGUAGGGUGCAAGCGUUGUCCGGAAUUAUUGGGCGUAAAGAGCUCGUAGGCGGUUUGUCGCGUCUGCUGUGAAAUCCCGAGGCU